AAACCAACAGGGAUUGCCCUAGUAACGGCGAGUGAAGCGGCAACAGCUCAAAUUUGAAAUCUGGCUCUUUUAGGGUCCGAGUUGUAAUUUGCAGAGGGCGCUUUGGCGUUGGCAGCGGUCCAAGUUCUUUGGAACAGGACGUCACAGAGGGUGAGAAUCCCGUACGUGGUCNCUAUCCUUCGCCGUGUAAAGCCCCUUCGACGAGUCGAGUUGUUUGGGAAUGCAGCUCUAAAUGGGAGGUAAAUUUCUUCUAAAGCUAAAUACUGGCCAGAGACCGAUAGCGCACAAGUAGAGUGAUCGAAAGAUGAAAAGCACUUUGGAAAGAGAGUCAAAUAGCACGUGAAAUUGUUGAAAGGGAAGCGCUUGCAGCCAGACUUGCCUGUAGUUGCUUAUCCGGACUUUUGUCCGGUGCACUCUUCUGCGGGCAGGCCAGCAUCAGUUUGGGCAGUUGGAUAAAGGUCUCUGUCAUGUACCUCUCUUCGGGGAGGCCUUAUAGGGGAGACGACAUGCAACUAGCCUGGACUGAGGUCCGCGCAUCUGCUAGGAUGCUGGCGUAAUGGCUGUAAGCGGC
rnacentral:rRNA from 1 species